AGGGCCGCACAGAAUAGCCCUAUCUCCAUCUUAUCUCCCAAUUCCCAGGCUCGGUGCGCCAGGCGCGCUCCUCCGGCAUGGCGUCCAUCACCCUCCUCUCCCUCGCUCCCACCGCUACCUUCCUCCACCUCCCCGCUUGCACCGCCUCCUCCUCCCCCUUCGCCGCCAUUUCCCGUCCCCUCCUCACCGUUCGCCGGGCACCCCCCCUCCGCGCGCGCGCUCCUCGCCGCGUCACCGUUGUGUGCAGCGCUGCGGCGGCGGCCUCGGAGGCAGAGCCCGUGGAGAAGUUCCGGCUCGACAACCUUAGUCCUCAGAAGGGGUCGCGGCAGCGGCCGAAGCGGAAGGGGCGUGGUAUCUCGGCGGGGCAGGGCGCGAGCUGCGGGUUCGGCAUGCGCGGGCAGAAGUCGCGCUCAGGACCCGGCGUCCGGCGAGGAUUCGAGGGCGGGCAAAUGCCUCUCUACCGCCGUCUACCUAAGCUCCGCGGAAUUGCUGGCGGAAUGCAUAUCGGGUUGCCAAAAUACGUGCCGUUCAAUUUACGAGACAUAGCACAGGGUGGGUUCAAGGAUGGUGAGGAGAUUUCAUUGGAGUCCCUGAAAUCAAAGGGUUUGAUCAAUCCAUCUGGCCGAGAAAGAAAGCUUCCACUCAAGAUUUUAGGAGAUGGUGAUGUAUCAGUGAAGUUGAACAUCAAGGCUGGGGCAUUCUCUUCCUCGGCCAAGGAGAAACUCGAGGCAGCUGGCUGUACUUUAACUCUGCUGCCCAAGCGGAAGAAAUGGCUACCAGCAUCUUAUGUGAAGAACCAAGCUCGUGCUGAAGAGUACUUUAGCAAGAAAAAUGGCGGCACCGGAGAACCUGAUGAAGCCUCCACGUAGAGUUCAUAUACACUGCAACACACUGUGAUGAACCAAAGGGAUCUAGAAGAAAAUAGGGGAAUCACAGAAUCCAUUUACGUGAUGUCUGCACCGUCUUUCGUGAUUUCUGGACAGUGGACAGCAUGCAUAUAUGGUGCACUGUUCUCCACUGAAAAGAAUCUGCAAUUAUUAUACAGGGGUGCAACUCAUUCUAUACAGGCAUAACAUUGAUUUUUGAACACAACAUUUCAACAAAGCUCAUCCUAAGGUUGCGUGUUUGAAGAAGUUAGAUUAGGACAGACAUGGUAUAUAUAGGUUGAUUGACUGCUUGUUAAACAGGGAUGUGUAGUUAAAUACAGGCAUGUUCUAUAUGAUAAAUCUUUGUAUGACCUAUGGAAUAAUGGAGUAAACGCUGACUUAGUGGCUUUGCCACAA